AUGGCGGGUGGCAGCCCGGCAAAAGAGGAGGUGCGGACGCCUCGUGAGUUGGAGAUGCAGAUGGAAGAGGGGGUCGUGCAGCGGAAUCAGCCUCGUCGCAAGAGGAAUCGAGCUGACCUUGCUGAUGAGCUCGAGUUCUUCACGGACCUCCGCAAUACGCUGAUGAAGAAGAAGAAGAAGAAGCAGAAGAAGGAGAAGGGCACGCCCGAGAAGGAGAGGUUCGAUUCUUCCAACUCCUACCGUAGUCUGGGCACGCAGAAGGGGCUUGGUUUUCUCGACAAUCGUAUCAAGGUCUUGCGCAAGCGGAUGGGGAUAACCGCCGGAACUGCCCGCAGCUCCCCCGCGAUCUCUGAUCUGUCGGACCCCUCGGGGAAGCAUAUGAAUGGUCUCAGUGAUCUGAGUUCGACAUUAGGAGCAGAUCCAAUUUCAGAUGAUGAUGAUGGCGCUGAUGGUUCUGGUGACGACGAGGAAGAGGAUGAGAUGGAGUGUGGCAAGCCAGCCAUGGAGGAGGAGGGGGUCCAGAGGAUCACCGGCUCCACACCAAUUUCGGAGAUUGAUGCUGAGGCAGUGAUGGAGGCAGAUGCCCAAGAUACCGAUGUAUCAGAGAAACCUGAUCCCAUUCCCACCAACACAACGGCAAAAGUGUCCAUAAACAGUGAUGGCCAUGAUCGAGCUGACACUGAUUGUGUUGACGACGAUGAGGUAGACAGAGGCAAAUCAGAGGCACAAUUAGCCAAGGAGAAGAGGGUGAUGUCUACCGAGGAGCUCAAGUUUGAGUCCUUCCGUCGUGGCUGGGAGACUGCGUUUAGCCGACGCAGCGGCCACUUCCUUAACAAGACGACAGUGAGUUCCAUGCAGUUUACACACUUGGCACCUGGGCGCAUCCCAUGCGGCGCUGGCAUAGAACCUGCCGUGCAGAUCUUCUCUGUCAAGCUUACAGAGGUGAAAGGCGGCUUCAAAUUUCCAUUGUCUGUGUAUGGUGUGGUCGCUGCCCGUGAUGGCGUGGACUACAACCGCAACCUUCUCUUCUUUUGCGAUAGGAGCAACUCCCAAAAACUUACUCAAAAUGAUCCUUAUCUGCACCUGAUCGGCCCGUCUCGCGCUGUUUUCUUUGAGGACUAUGUUAAUUAUGAGGUCCAGCUUAUGGUGAAAGGCAGCGUGAAGUCUCGGGACAGGCCGUUGAUCACAGAUACAUACCGCCAUAUCCAAUGCCGUAUUGGUGUAUCCACCAUCUGCUUUCAGAACUGCUUCUGCACGAUGGAGUUACGCUUGGAGCGAUUUCUAGGUUCGGUCCAGGCCACCAUCUUUGGCGUACGUGUCGUCAAAGACAAUGGGGCGUGGCCUUUUGGACAUGGUGUUCGGGUUGCUUGCUCCCCAGCAUCACGGGAACUUAUGGAGGACAGUGAUGGUGAAAUCAAGUAUGUUGCUCAGCCUUCGUCUGGGGAAAUCUUGCUGCUUGAUUCAAAAGAUGGAAGAAGACCUGCGCAUUCAGAUGGAUACCUUUAUCUGUCAAGGCAAGUUGUUUCUGUAGAACCAAGCGGACAGCUGGAAGUUGAAAUACAGGCCUAUGCACCACCCGGCGUUCUCCCUGCAAAAGCUCAGGUCUGCUUCGAAGCCCAAGAAUGCAACAUAGAUCGUGGUCGGUGUUGCCUCCUCGGUGCUGAGGUGGAGAUCUGUGUUGCUUGGUCCCGUCUUGCUUCGGACAUGGAGAUGCUUGCGGGUGUUGACAGGGAUUUCCAAAGGGAUGAACCAGAGGUUGCGUUCACACAAGUGGGGCUGAAUGGAGAGCCUGACACGGAACGAAUCUUUUAA
rnacentral:rRNA from 1 species